AGUGAACGCUGGCGGCAGGCCUAAUACAUGCAAGUCGAACGGCAGCACAGUGGAGCUUGCUCCAUGGGUGGCGAGUGGCGGACGGGUGAGGAAUACAUGGGAAUCUGCCCAGUCGUGGGGGAUAACGUAGGGAAACUUACGCUAAUACCGCAUGCGCCCUUCGGGGAAAGCCGGGGACCGUAAGGCCUGGCGCGAUUGGAUGAGCCAUGUCGGAUUAGCUAGUUGGCGGGGUAAAGCCCACCAAGGCGACGAUCCGUAGCUGGUCUGAGAGGAUGAUCAGCCACACUGGAACUGAGACACGGUCCAGACUCCUACGGGAGGCAGCAGUAGGAUAUUGGACAAUGGGC
rnacentral:rRNA from 1 species